rnacentral:rRNA from 1 species
AUUGAACGCUGGCGGAAUGCUUUACACAUGCAAGUCGAACGGCAGCACGGGGCAACCUGGUGGCGAGUGGCGAACGGGUGAGUAAUACAUCGGAACGUGCCCAAUCGUGGGGGAUAACGUAGCGAAAGUUACGCUAAUACCGCAUACGAUCUACGGAUGAAAGCGGGGGAUCGCAAGACCUCGCGCGAAUGGAGUGGCCGAUGUCAGAUUAGGUAGUUGGUGGGGUAAAGGCUCACCAAGCCAACGAUCUGUAGCUGGUCUGAGAGGACGACCAGCCACACUGGAACUGAGACACGGUCCAGACUCCUACGGGAGGCAGCAGUGGGGAAUUUUGGACAAUGGGCGCAAGCCUGAUCCAGCCAUUCCGCGUGCAGGAUGAAGGCCUUCGGUU